rnacentral:misc_RNA from 1 species
AAUAAUAAUAAUAAUAAUAAUAUAUAACUAAAAAAAAAAAGAGCUUCUGCAGACCAUAUCAAGAUGCAUAUAUCUUCACAACAUUCUCGAGUUUCAUCAAAAUUCAUACAAAUAUUUAUAUGGAAAAGAAAAAUCAUAAAGUAAGCAAAUGAAAGAUGUAAACUGCGUCGUAAUCCUACAAGGCAUUUGGGGUAGGCUGAGCCACCAAAAUGGGGCACAGGUCUUCUAUAAUUUCCUUAGUCAUACCAUGAACAACGGCGGCUUCUGCAUGCAAAAUUUAUUACUCCACCAAUGUGAUGACAGAUGCUAAGCAGUAAUCCUUGACCUACCUUUUGCUAUUCUUCGAGCAAUGACUCUCCUACCACCCUUGGUUGCCUUGCUGCUCAUACACCAAAUUGCAUUAAUCACACAAACCUAUGCAAUUUCAGCAAGUUUACUCAACAUAUAUACAUAUACAAAUCAAUGAAACCCUGUUAAUGCGGAUCUCAGUGUAUGCAAGUAAAAGGAAAAGAAAGAAAAUAAAACAAAGAACAGUUCAAAAAAGAGGCAGGCAACAGAGCUUUGGCAGGAAGGCCACCUAAACAAAGCCCUGCCUAUGGCUUCAAAUCGUUAAACCAUGAGCAUUAUCGUUAACCAUUUUAUUGGAAAAAAAAAGUAGCCCCAAUAUUUUAUACAUCGGGGAAUUUAACUUCGUCCCACAAGAUGCACAAGACGAAGCAUCCCAGUAAAAUGCAACAUUUUCAAGCAAAUUUUACACUUUCAUCAGACAUCUCGAUUUCUUUAUUUUAAGUUCUAAAAGAUUAGCAAUCAUUCCUACGUUCUCUGUUUCUCAAAGACAUUUAUUGAGAUUUGAGAUUUUCUCUAGGUGCCAGGCUAUAGUUUUAGGCGGAAAAAUGCUCCUUUUUUUUUUUGGCUGAUGUAGAUUCCAGAUCAGUGUUCUCUAGUUUGGUAAAAAGAUAAGUAACUCGUGAUUUUUGGGAGUGAAUUAGGAAAAGAAACAUAUUAGUUAGGAGUGGUUGUUGACGAUGUACUAAAGUUUUGUUUGUCUCCUGUAUAAGGGGGUUAUGCAACAAUGAAAGUAAGAAUAAAUUUUCAGAAUUUUCACUUUUCUCCUAGAAAAUCAGUAGUCCAGUUGUGGGGAGGAAGAGAGAGAAAAAUACCGCGCAAAGAAACCAUGAUUUCUCUUACGCCUGAUGAGGCUGGGUUGGAAUGUCCUUUUAGGGAAUAAGAGCAUUGGCUCACUUGAUGAAUCACCUAAAUAAAAGGAUCAAACCAGUCAUAAAUUAAUCAAGAAGGAAAAGCAAAAAGUUCAAGGUAAUCAGUAAUUGACCAGGCCAGCCCCAUGCAACCUCCAUUCUAAAGUUGUAGAAUAGACAUAUCAGUAGUGCUUAGCAACAAUUACUUAUUAUAGGUUCAGUUCCGCAAGCCAAAAUGCUAUCCACUCAACCCUUCAUAUUUUUAUUUUUUGCAGGAAAUUGUGUAAGGUAAUUUUAUUCUAAUGAUUUUAGCUGAACAAAACAAGAUAAAUCUGAACCUCAUUAAAAUCCUGGCAACACCUCUUGGACUGAAGAAUUUUCCAUGAGCCAGAGAAGGGACAUACAAUUGUUAUAAGAGAUCAAUCCAAAAUUAGAAUUGCAUCAACUCUGUAGAAUCAACUAGAAAGCUGGCGACUGUGUUUAGUGAUAAUAUCCAACAACAGACAACCUUUUUCCUAUACUCAAUGUCAAGUGUCAACAAUCACAACAUUUCUCAACUAUAUGUCUAAUCAAGCAAGUAUUCAGAUUCCUCAACAGUAAGCUAAUCCAAUUGCUUCAAGACAAAAAGCAUGCUUAACACGGGCAUCAUAUCAGCAUGUCCUUAGAUUCCAUAGCAUGUCAUCUUAAAUCAUUAAUGUGCUGCCUACUUAAAACAAGAAAUUUACUUCCAAAUGUUAAUGCUUGCAAACUGUCUGAGGAUCAAAACGAGAAAGACUAAAAAAAAACUCCAUCUUAGCUACAUGGAAUUUGAAAAUAAUGUUAUGCAUCACAAAAUAGUUCCAAUGGAUACCGUCUUUACAAAUAAAGCAUGCAUUUCUAAAUACAGAAUACAGCAACAAAGGACCAAUGGUGAAAGUGUACAGAUAAAUAAAAAGGGUAAUCUAGCAAAUGGAAUAUAUUGUUGUAAUGCAUGACAGAAUACCAUCAGCUAUUAGUAAUAAAAGCAUGAGUUGAAUUGAGAGCCUAAAGAUUGACUACUAACUAAAAGUAAGAUGAAAAACAAAAAAAUUGACUGAUAAACAGUGUCUCUAACUAAGCACAAAAUAUGACCAAUGACUAAACAAGAGAAGGCAUAAUACGAUACCAAUGCCCAAAGAUGAUUAUUGUAGCCUGACAACAAUUAUAUUCUAUUAGUAAGCCUCUGCAAUAAUAUCAACCCCAAGUCCCAACUAGUUUGGGAUUAAGUCUUAGUUGUUGUUGUUAUUUUUGUAGUAAGCUUCUGCAACAAAGGAAAUGAGAAUGACUAGAAACCUAAAGAUACAUGAUUAGUAAGGAUUCAAAAAGUUGAUCUUCUUUCUAUUCACCUUUUUUCUUUGUUUUUUUUCAAUAAGGAUUUAAACACUAGGAAAUAAUUAAAAAAAAUUGCAACUUAAUUUUCUCCAAAAAGUUGGUAUUAGCAAAUGAAGAUUAACAAAAAUGCAAUUGCCCAGGUAAAAGAUUCCACGGUACAACUUCCCCUGUAAUGGCAUGCACUGCUAUAGUGAAAAUGGAGGUGACAGGAGUUAUCAAUGUAUAAUUCCUAGAAGAAACAGGUAUCUCCUGCUGCUUUUAACAAUUAUUCAAAAGCAUCAACCAAUGAAAAACGUAACAUAAAAAAAAAAUUGACAGUGACAAGAUGAUAAGCUGAAUUAAUAUUGAUACCCAUUUGCCAGUCAUGUACAAUUCAACAAUCAAAACAAAAGCAAUGCGCUUUUUCUCCUAAAAGUAACAAGAAACCCACCCCCCACCACCAGAAAAG